GGUUAAGCGACUAAGCGUACACGGUGGAUGCCCUGGCAGUCAGAGGCGAUGAAGGACGUGCUAAUCUGCGAUAAGCGUCGGUAAGGUGAUAUGAACCGUUAUAACCGGCGAUUUCCGAAUGGGGAAACCCAGUGUGUUUCGACACACUAUCAUUAACUGAAUCCAUAGGUUAAUGAGGCGAACCGGGGGAACUGAAACAUCUAAGUACCCCGAGGAAAAGAAAUCAACCGAGAUUCCCCCAGUAGCGGCGAGCGAACGGGGAGCAGCCCAGAGCCUGAAUCAGUAUGUGUGUUAGUGGAAGCGUCUGGAAAGGCGCGCGAUACAGGGUGACAGCCCCGUACACAAAAAUGCACAUAUUGUGAGCUCGAUGAGUAGGGCGGGACACGUGGUAUCCUGUCUGAAUAUGGGGGGACCAUCCUCCAAGGCUAAAUACUCCUGACUGACCGAUAGUGAACCAGUACCGUGAGGGAAAGGCGAAAAGAACCCCGGCGAGGGGAGUGAAAAAGAACCUGAAACCGUGUACGUACAAGCAGUGGGAGCACGCUUAGGCGUGUGACUGCGUACCUUUUGUAUAAUGGGUCAGCGACUUAUAUUCUGUAGCAAGGUUAACCGAAUAGGGGAGCCGAAGGGAAACCGAGUCUUAACUGGGCGUUAAGUUGCAGGGUAUAGACCCGAAACCCGGUGAUCUAGCCAUGGGCAGGUUGAAGGUUGGGUAACACUAACUGGAGGACCGAACCGACUAAUGUUGAAAAAUUAGCGGAUGACUUGUGGCUGGGGGUGAAAGGCCAAUCAAACCGGGAGAUAGCUGGUUCUCCCCGAAAGCUAUUUAGGUAGCGCCUCGUGAAUUCAUCUCCGGGGGUAGAGCACUGUUUCGGCAAGGGGGUCAUCCCGACUUACCAACCCGAUGCAAACUGCGAAUACCGGAGAAUGUUAUCACGGGAGACACACGGCGGGUGCUAACGUCCGUCGUGAAGAGGGAAACAACCCAGACCGCCAGCUAAGGUCCCAAAGUCAUGGUUAAGUGGGAAACGAUGUGGGAAGGCCCAGACAGCCAGGAUGUUGGCUUAGAAGCAGCCAUCAUUUAAAGAAAGCGUAAUAGCUCACUGGUCGAGUCGGCCUGCGCGGAAGAUGUAACGGGGCUAAACCAUGCACCGAAGCUGCGGCAGCGACACUAUGUGUUGUUGGGUAGGGGAGCGUUCUGUAAGCCUGUGAAGGUGUGCUGUGAGGCAUGCUGGAGGUAUCAGAAGUGCGAAUGCUGACAUAAGUAACGAUAAAGCGGGUGAAAAGCCCGCUCGCCGGAAGACCAAGGGUUCCUGUCCAACGUUAAUCGGGGCAGGGUGAGUCGACCCCUAAGGCGAGGCCGAAAGGCGUAGUCGAUGGGAAACAGGUUAAUAUUCCUGUACUUGGUGUUACUGCGAAGGGGGGACGGAGAAGGCUAUGUUGGCCGGGCGACGGUUGUCCCGGUUUAAGCGUGUAGGCUGGUUUUCCAGGCAAAUCCGGAAAAUCAAGGCUGAGGCGUGAUGACGAGGCACUACGGUGCUGAAGCAACAAAUGCCCUGCUUCCAGGAAAAGCCUCUAAGCAUCAGGUAACAUCAAAUCGUACCCCAAACCGACACAGGUGGUCAGGUAGAGAAUACCAAGGCGCUUGAGAGAACUCGGGUGAAGGAACUAGGCAAAAUGGUGCCGUAACUUCGGGAGAAGGCACGCUGAUAUGUAGGUGAAGUCCCUCGCGGAUGGAGCUGAAAUCAGUCGAAGAUACCAGCUGGCUGCAACUGUUUAUUAAAAACACAGCACUGUGCAAACACGAAAGUGGACGUAUACGGUGUGACGCCUGCCCGGUGCCGGAAGGUUAAUUGAUGGGGUUAGCCGCAAGGCGAAGCUCUUGAUCGAAGCCCCGGUAAACGGCGGCCGUAACUAUAACGGUCCUAAGGUAGCGAAAUUCCUUGUCGGGUAAGUUCCGACCUGCACGAAUGGCGUAAUGAUGGCCAGGCUGUCUCCACCCGAGACUCAGUGAAAUUGAACUCGCUGUGAAGAUGCAGUGUACCCGCGGCAAGACGGAAAGACCCCGUGAACCUUUACUAUAGCUUGACACUGAACAUUGAGCCUUGAUGUGUAGGAUAGGUGGGAGGCUUUGAAGUGUGGACGCCAGUCUGCAUGGAGCCGACCUUGAAAUACCACCCUUUAAUGUUUGAUGUUCUAACGUUGACCCGUAAUCCGGGUUGCGGACAGUGUCUGGUGGGUAGUUUGACUGGGGCGGUCUCCUCCUAAAGAGUAACGGAGGAGCACGAAGGUUGGCUAAUCCUGGUCGGACAUCAGGAGGUUAGUGCAAUGGCAUAAGCCAGCUUGACUGCGAGCGUGACGGCGCGAGCAGGUGCGAAAGCAGGUCAUAGUGAUCCGGUGGUUCUGAAUGGAAGGGCCAUCGCUCAACGGAUAAAAGGUACUCCGGGGAUAACAGGCUGAUACCGCCCAAGAGUUCAUAUCGACGGCGGUGUUUGGCACCUCGAUGUCGGCUCAUCACAUCCUGGGGCUGAAGUAGGUCCCAAGGGUAUGGCUGUUCGCCAUUUAAAGUGGUACGCGAGCUGGGUUUAGAACGUCGUGAGACAGUUCGGUCCCUAUCUGCCGUGGGCGCUGGAGAACUGAGGGGGGCUGCUCCUAGUACGAGAGGACCGGAGUGGACGCAUCACUGGUGUUCGGGUUGUCAUGCCAAUGGCACUGCCCGGUAGCUAAAUGCGGAAGAGAUAAGUGCUGAAAGCAUCUAAGCACGAAACUUGCCCCGAGAUGAGUUCUCCCUGAC
rnacentral:rRNA from 1 species